rnacentral:rRNA from 1 species
UAGAGUUUGAUCAUGGCUCAGGAUGAACGCUAGCGGCAGGCCUAACACAUGCAAGUCGAGGGGCAGCGGGAGUGCUUGCACUCGCCGGCGACCGGCGCACGGGUGCGGAACGCGUAUCGAAUCUGCCUCUAUCUGGGGGAUGCCCCAUGGAAACGUGGAAUAAUACCCCAUAGUAUUACUUUAUCGCAUGAUUUAGUAAUUAAAGAAUUUCGGAUAGAGAUGACGAUGCGUAUCAUUAGCUAGUAGGUAAGGUAACGGCUUACCUAGGCAACGAUGAUUAGGGGUCCUGAGAGGGAGAUCCCCCACACUGGUACUGAGACACGGACCAGACUCCUACGGGAGGCAGCAGUGAGGAAUAUUGGACAAUGGUCGAAAGACUGAUCCAGCCAUGCCGCGUGCAGGAUGACUGCCCUAUGGGUUGUAAACUGCUUUUAUACGGGAAGAAAAACACCUACGUGUAGGUGACUGACGGUACCGUAAGAAUAAGGACCGGCUAACUCCGUGCCAGCAGCCGCGGUAAUACGGAGGGUCCAAGCGUUAUCCGGAAUCAUUGGGUUUAAAGGGUCCGUAGGCGGGCUAUUAAGUCAGAGGUGAAAGUUUUGCAGCUCAACUGUAAAAUUGCCUUUGAUACUGA